AUCUGCGGCCAUACCGCCAUGAACACACCGCGUCUCGUCCGAUCCGCGAAGUUAAGCAUGGCAGGGGCCAGAGAGUAUUGCCGUGGGUGACCAGGCGAGAACACUGUGCUGCCGCAGGUU
rfam:Rhodotorula graminis WP1 unplaced genomic scaffold RHOBAscaffold_22, whole genome shotgun sequence.